AUUGAACGCUGGCGGCAUGCCUUACACAUGCAAGUCGAACGGUAACGGGCCUUCGGGUGCCGACGAGUGGCGCACGGGUGAGUAAUACAUCGGAACGUGCCCGAUCGUGGGGGAUAACGAGGCGAAAGCUUUGCUAAUACCGCAUACGAUCUACGGAUGAAAGCAGGGGACCGCAAGGCCUUGCGCGGACGGAGCGGCCGAUGGCAGAUUAGGUAGUUGGUGGGAUAAAAGCUUACCAAGCCGACGAUCUGUAGCUGGUCUGAGAGGAUGAUCAGCCACACUGGGACUGAGACACGGCCCAGACUCCUACGGGAGGCAGCAGUGGGGAAUUUUAGACAAAGGGCGCAAGCCUGAUCCAGCCAUGCCGCGUGCAGGAUGAAGGCCUUCGGGUUGUAAACUGCUUUUGUACGGGACGAAAAGCCUUCUUUUAAUACAGGAGGGUCAUGACGGUACCGUAAGAAUAAGCACCGGCUAACUACGUG
rnacentral:rRNA from 1 species